rnacentral:rRNA from 1 species
CCUACGGGUGGCAGCAGUGAGGAAUAUUGGUCAAUGGACGAGAGUCUGAACCAGCCAAGUAGCGUGAAGGAUGACUGCCCUACGGGUUGUAAACUUCUUUUAUAUGGGAAUAAAAUGUUCCACGUGUGGGAUUUUGUAUGUACCUUAUGAAUAAGGAUCGGCUAACUCCGUGCCAGCAGCCGCGGUAAUACGGAGGAUCCGAGCGUUAUCCGGAUUUAUUGGGUUUAAAGGGAGCGUAGGUGGAUUGUUAAGUCAGUUGUGAAAGUUUGCGGCUCAACCGUAAAAUUGCAGUUGAAACUGGCAGUCUUGAGUACAGUAGAGGUGGGCGGAAUUCGUGGUGUAGCGGUGAAAUGCUUAGAUAUCACGAAGAACUCCGAUUGCGAAGGCAGUUCACUGAACUGCAACUGACACUGAGGCUCGAAAGUGUGGGUAUCAAACAGGAUUAGAUACCCGAGUAGUC